ensembl:lncRNA
GAGCAACACGUUCCCCACGCCCUUCCCCCAAUAAAUCACUGUAACACGUCAAACAGAACACAGCAAAGCUUCAGGAUUUGAAAACAGUAGUCCCAGGAGGAGAAGAGGGCAACAGAGGAUGAGAUGGUUGGAUGGCAUCACCAACGCAAUGGACAUGAAUUUGAGCAAGCUCCAGGAGACAAUGAAGGACAGGGAAGCCUGGUGUGUAAUAGUCCAUGGGGUCACAAAGAGUCAGACUUGACUUAGCAACUGAAAACAAGGCUUUACCCAUUAGGUUUCCCCAUUGCUUCUGCAAGGAGUUCUUGAACAGUCUAGAGUGGGUUCUUGAAACCCACUCUAAACCAUCAAUUUAGUUUACCCAUUUCUCAUACAGAGGGUAAGGUGAAACUAACUCUGAAAGAAAUUUGUCCAAGUCUAGAUAAGAUAUGCAGAUCAUAUCCCACCGUUCAGUUCAGUAAUAGAUGUUAUGAGUUUCCAGGAGGACCAGCAGAUUCUUUCAACCACGUCACCCAAAUUCAAGACUCAGAGGUUCCAGUUCAGUUACUGUGCAUUACAGCUUCAGAUAUCUAAAGGGAACACACUGAUUAGUUAAGACUUGUUUUUAGGCAAAAACAUACGUGACCCAUAUUCGGAAUCAGAACAUUCGUUGCAAUCUGUGCUUGGAGGCAGACGUGUUUGUUUAUUUUACGAGUUUUUAAAGUGCCAACUCCCCAGCAGUGAAUUACUUAAUGACUCAAACACAAACCCCAAACUCCAAACUGGCUCAAGAGAGGUGGCGAUUACGGAAAAUUCUACUUCAUCUAGCCCAAAGAACUGACCACCCGUGAGCUGGAAAACAGACCUCAAAGCAGGAAAGAAACAGAAGUGUCCAAAGAAGAUGUGGAAAACACAACCCAGAAAAAGCUGACCCUCAAGAAAGAAGUCCGAUUCCAGACCGGUGUCAGUUUCCAGAACUGAAGAGCUAUAUGUGCUGAGUGAGGACAUAUUAAGUUUCCUGCUUUCCAUGGAGAAAAGCAAAUGCUACCCUAGCCCUUAAUUAAGGAUGUUAUCAUUGGUGACAGUGAUGGUAUGGACUACAGGUUAUUCCCUUUCAUCUACUGGAGCUGGAUGUCCAGUCCUGAACCAAUACCAGUUACUCAAGUACCUUGAGCAGGGAAUACUGAAAAGAUGAUGAAGAUCAGAGCCAGGACUUGUAAUCCAGCAGCCUGAGUCCGGAACCUGCAGUCACCUACUAUGCUCACUAUUUCCCUACAUUCCCUACAUGAAGAUUUACCAGGCACUGUGCAAAAUCCCAUUGACUAUAUCCUGCCAAGCUCUUCUGUCUGUGGAAUUCUUCAGGCAAGAAUACUGGAGUGGGUUGCCAUUUCCUUCUCCAGGGGAUCUUCCCAACCCAGGGAUUGAGCCCGGGUCUCCCACGCUGCAGGAGGACUCUUUACUGCGUGAGCCACCAGGGAAGACUCUAACGGAUAAAGAUGUGGUAGAUAUAUGUACAACAGAAGACCACUCAGCCAUAAAAAAGAACAAAUUUUUGGCAUUUUCAGUGGCAUGAAUGAACUUAGAAGGCAUUAUGCUGAGUGAAAUAAGAUAGAGAAAGACAAAUACUGUAUGAGAUCACCUAUAUGUGGAAUCUAACAAAUGCAACAAACUAG